UGAUGAUCACAAGGAAAAGAGGUUAAUUGGAUUAAUGGAGAACAGUAUCAUUUCAGCUACUUCAGCAGGAAAUCUUAAAGAGUUCUGAAGUCGUCAACAAUGGUAACUUGAAGCCUCAUCGUAAGGGACGUUUCUUCCUAUGCUUUCAAGUAAAAGGUGUAUCAGGUCCUUAAACAUGUA